rnacentral:misc_RNA from 1 species
UGUAAGAAGAAAGGCUUUGAGAUAUAAUUCCCGGUAGGUAUUACAAAGAUUGCUCAAUACCUAGGAUUCUACUACAAGAAAGUUAUAAAAAGGAUUUUGUAAGUAAGGCAGAGGUAGGGAGGAAUAAGUGAUGGACGACCUUCUUGCUCCUUUGAUGCCUUCAGGGUUUUGUAAGAAGAAAGGCUUUGGAUGUUUUCUUCGGAUUUUUUAACUUCUCAAGUAUUUUGGAUGCCAAAAGGAUGCCUUCUGAAUGCAUGAGAGCUCUCUUUUAUAGAAGUAGCCUGGGGCAUACUUCAUAAUUUUGUAGAUUUUAAACAGUGUCUGCUACUUGAUGUCUUCACGUGUGAAUAGUGCUUUUUGUCUUCUUCACAUGCGAACAGUACAAAAGUGACAGGUAAACAGUGUCCUGUCAGGUUUUGAAAUAAAGGAAAAGUAAAAACAGAAAAAGUAAAAGAAUAUUACAAAAGUAAGAAGCAAAAAUAAAGUGAAAAGUUUAAACAAAGAAAAGCAAAGAAGAAUAAUUUGUUGCCGCCAUGAAUUUCUUUUGUCGAUCUUCUUUUUUUUUUUUUACAAGAGAUUUUGUAUCUGUGAAGAGAUACUACAACCUUCUUCAUUAUCAUCUGCCAAAUUGAUUAUGGGUUCUGAAUUAGAAUCGGCUGCAGAGAAAUUAAUUCUGUUUUGCAAUAACUGUUACAUUAUUGCAAAAUAUUCAUCAUUUUUUGCUCCUGGUAGUCUUGCCAUGGCAUGUGAUCGUUGGGCCAAAAAUAAUUGUUUGAAAGGUUUUGUACAGGAGUUGAUAGCAAAAGAUUUUUUUUCUUAAGCCAGUCUUUUAUUUCUUAGUUUGUAAUUGCUUCUGGGACAUUAAAAUGAGUCCCACCAUAUUACUUUGAACCUUCUGAUGAUGGUGCUCAAUCCAUCUUGGGGCUUCGUAAUUCUAAGAACCAGAUCAAGAUCCAAGCUAGAAAGAAUUUUGAACAGAAUAAGAGAAGAGGUAGAAACCUUUUCUCUUUGGAUGAGGGUUUGUAAUGAGUUUUAAGCUCUCUGAGACUUCUGGUGUAAGGAUUUCAGGUAAAGCACCAAAAUACUUCCACCAUUAAGUAGAUCAUGAAAGGGGUUUCGGAAGAAUCAAAUAAUUUUUGGAAAUAGAAUAGCCAAGAAUGACUAUUUUUAUGGUAUUGUAUGAGAAAUAUAUUAUACCAUACCUAUUGGUAGUUCCAAUAAUUGAAAUGUUGGCAAUUGUCAAUCCUGUUUUGGAAUGAAAAAGGAAAAACUUUUU